GACGAACGCUGGCGUCGUGCCUAAUACAUGCCAGUAGAACACAGUUUCGAACGGGUGACUCACGCGUAUGGAACUGCCUCAUAGCCGGGAAUCACUAUUGGAAACGAUAGCUCAUACCGCAUACUGUGAGAUGGCACUGCGUUGUAUUAGCUAGUGGGUUAGGUAAAGGCACACCAAGGCGACGCUACAUACCCGACCUGAUAGGGUGAUCGGCCAAACUGGGACUGCGACGCUGCCCAGACUCCUACGGGAGGCAGCAGUAGGGAAUCUUCGGCAAUGUACGGAAGUCUGACCGAGCAACGCCGCGUGAGUGAAGAAGGUUUUCGGAUCGUAGAGCUCUGUUGUUAGAGAAGCGGUAACUAACCAGAAUGGGACAACUAACUACGUGCCAGCAGCCGCGGUAAUAC
rnacentral:rRNA from 1 species